AUUGAACGCUGGCGGCAUGCCUUACACAUGCAAGUCGAACGGUAACGGGCCUUCGGGUGCCGACGAGUGGCGAACGGGUGAGUAAUACAUCGGAACGUGCCCGAUCGUGGGGGAUAACGAGGCGAAAGCUUUGCUAAUACCGCAUACGAUCUACGGAUGAAAGCAGGGGACCGCAAGGCCUUGCGCGGACGGAGCGGCCGAUGGCAGAUUAGGUAGUUGGUGGGAUAAAAGCUUACCAAGCCGACGAUCUGUAGCUGGUCUGAGAGGAUGAGCAGCCACACUGGGACUGAGACACGGCCCAGACUCCUACGGGAGGCAGCAGUGGGGAAUUUUGGACAAUGGGCGCAAGCCUGAUCCAGCCAUGCCGCGUGCAGGAUGAAGGCCUUCGGGUUGUAAAAUGCUUUUGUACGGAACGAAAAGCCUUCUUUUAAUACAGGAGGGUCAUGACGGUACCGUAAGAAUAAGCACCGGCUAACUACGUG
rnacentral:rRNA from 1 species